UGAGGGGCCAAGACUGCCUGAGAAGGGAUGCGAGGGGGCAUGUGGGGCUGAGCGGGACGUGAGGGACCGAGAGGAGUCAUGAGGGGCCGUGAAGGGCCCAGGGAUUUACAGCUCUCUCCAUUAUCGCCAUUGUGGGGAUGGGGCUCUGCUGCCAAAACAUUUCACAUUGUUUCCUUUCAUGGGUUAAACAGAGCCUAUGUUUCAUUUUCAUCUUCAGGAUAUGCUGCGUGUCAUGUCUCCGGGUGACCGUGUGGGUGAGAGCACACGAGUCGAGCUCAUGGAUAUUGGAUACACACAGCUAUUACUGUCAGCAGCGUCCUCUUUACAGAAUAAAAUACAUGCAUUUUCCAUUGGCUGCUGUACAGACAUACUCUGAGCCAACCAUCAUGUUAGAUUUCACAGAAUAUUCGAAGUUGGAAGGGAUCCAUAAGGAUCAUCAAGUCCAAGUGCAAGGACAUACUGCUACAGUAAUACAUUUCCUUCCAAGCCACCAGGGGGAAUCUGCUAUCACUGAAGGCAAGGAAAAAAUAAAAAGUGUUUUGGGGUGUUUGGUCAGUUUUUGGGGUAUUUUAUUGUUAUGGUUUUGUCAGGGACAGGGAGCAGGACAGACUGAUCUACCAUGACAGUUCACGUGGAGCCAACAAGCCUGAGAACAAAGGAAGUGAGACAAGCAAAUGUCCAUGAAACCCACUGCAAACACCACAGUUCUGCUUUCUCUAGCUGCUGCAGGAGCUCCAGUAAUUAAUUUAAUAAUUAUUGUUUAGUAACAGAGGGACAGAUGCUGGCUCUGCACAAACACACCUCCUCAGGGCUGCGCUCUCACGGCUGCGUCAGGAUGAGAGUCAGAGUCAGCUGACAAGAAAAAGGUGACAAAAAGAUUGGCCUUAUUAGGGAAUUUCUGGGUUGUUACUCAUACCUGGCACACAGAGGCAGCCAUGGAACAGGUAAAAUGUUUGCCAUUAAGGAGGUUCUAAAUGUCACACAGACUUUUAGCACUGGAUCUAGCCCCAUAUUAAGACUUUCAUUUAUAUUAUGAAAGCUAGUUUAGGAAUCUGUUUUUUACUAAACAACAUACUCCUUCCCCCAGCUUGUAGCAGAUGAGGUGUUUAAAAGGAAAUCCUCAGAGAUAAUCCCGUCAUAACUCUGAUCUGUCAUUCCCAAAUCCAGUCUUGACCCUGGAAAUGUGGCUGUUUUCAAGAAAAGGCUGGGUUAACAUAGAAAUAGGGUUCUGAUUGCUGUGGCAGUGGGGUUGUCUCACCAUGUGUGUAAUAUUUAUCAAGUUAAUAGAAUUUAUAAUGCAGUGAGUAAAGGCUUCAGUUAUCACACUCAACAUCUUACAGGACUGAGCCUUUGUGUUGCAGAUCUCUUGAGACAGAGAUUGAUCUUUAAUUUUUUUUUUAAGUACUAUUUGUGUAGCCCUACAUACGUGUUUUUUACACGUAGAUAUGAUGAGUAAUAGCAUGGAAAUGUUGCCAGAUGCUGUGGAGUUUGUUACUGGUCUGGUAAAACUGGUUUUUUCCUCAGAUGUUCAUCAGCUGCUGUCAGGGAAUUAUGAGAGAAUCUCAGAUCUAUAUGAGAAUCUCAGAUUUAAUUUCAUUUUAAAAUAGAUUUUGAUGUUUCAACUUGGAAAAUAUCAGCCCCACAGGUUAAAAAAGGCAAAUAAAAUGGCCUCAGCAUUUAUUAUUUAUAAAAUGUUUUGACUCCUGAUUUUCUGGUGAGUCAGCAGGGAGCUGUUGGUUAAACAGA